rnacentral:rRNA from 1 species
AGCGAACGCUGGCGGCAGGCUUAACACAUGCAAGUCGAGCGGGCCCUUCGGGGUCAGCGGCGGACGGGGGAGUAACGCGUGGGAACGUGCCUUCGGGUCUGGAAUAACUCUGGGAAACGAGGGCUAAUACCGGAUACGCGCUAUUGGGGAAAGGUUUACUGCCGGAAGAUCGGCCCGCGUCUGAUUAGCUAGUUGGUUGGGUAACGGACUACCAAGGCGACGAUCAGUAGCUGGUCUGAGAGGCGGAUCAGCCACACUUGGACUGAGACACGGCCCGGACUCCUCCGGGAGGCAGCAGUGCGGGAUGUUGGACCAUCGGCGCAAGCCUGAUCCAGCCCUGCCGCGUGAGUGAUGUAGGCAUUGGGGUUGUAAAGCUCUUUUAUCCGGGACCAUAAUGACGGUACCGGAGGAAUAAGCCCCGGCUAACUUCGUG